rnacentral:rRNA from 1 species
CAGUCGCCGCGGGAAUACGAAGGGUGCAAGCGUUAAUCGGAAUUACUGGGCGUAAAGCGCGCGUAGGUGGUUCAUUAAGUUGGAUGUGAAAGCCCUGGGCUCAACCUGGGAACUGCAUCCAAAACUGGUGAGCUAGAGUACGGUAGAGGGUAGUGGAAUUUCCUGUGUAGCGGUGAAAUGCGUAGAUAUAGGAAGGAACACCAGUGGCGAAGGCGACUACCUGGACUGAUACUGACACUGAGGUGCGAAAGCGUGGGGAGCAAACAGGAUUAGAUACCCGCGUAGUCCCUGUCUCUUAUAA